rfam:Lupinus angustifolius cultivar Tanjil chromosome LG05, whole genome shotgun sequence.
AAUCCAUGAUUUGGGCACUUUCUCACCAUAGAUUUGAAUCUAUCCCAAGAUUCAGAAAGAUUUUCCCCAACAGUUUGAACAAAAGUGGAAAAUGUUGUUUUCAGAUC